rnacentral:rRNA from 1 species
GCAGUCGAGCGGACCGACGGGAGCUUGCUCCCUUAGGUCAGCGGCGGACGGGUGAGUAACACGUGGGUAACCUGCCUGUAAGACUGGGAUAACUCCGGGAAACCGGGGCUAAUACCGGAUGCUUGAUUGAACCGCAUGGUUCAAUCAUAAAAGGCGGCUUCGGCUGCCGUUUACAGAUGGACCCGCGGCGCAUUAGCUAGUUGGUGAGGUAACGGCUCACCAAGGCGACGAUGCGUAGCCGACCUGAGAGGGUGAUCGGCCACACUGGGACUGAGACACGGCCCAGACUCCUACGGGAGGCAGCAGUAGGGAAUCUUCCGCAAUGGACGAAAGUCUGACGGAGCAACGCCGCGUGAGUGAUGAAGGUUUUCGGAUCGUAAAGCUCUGUUGUUAGGGAAGAACAAGUACCGUUCGAAUAGGGCGGUACCUUGACGGUACCUAACCAGAAAGCCACGGCUAACUACGUGCCAGCAGCCGCGGUAAUACGUAUGUGGCAAGCGUUGUCCGG